rnacentral:lncRNA from 10 species
CCUGCAUUUACUGGAAGGUAGGAGAGGGUUUAAAUACGUGGACACAACCAAAAAAUGCAGGAGUGAUACUGCACACCAAACAAGCCCGAACGUAAUCGCCUAAUUAAAUCAUUUUCAUCUAAUGAAUAUAAGCAACAAAAUAAACUGGCAUAGCAGCGAGUCAGGGAGUGAUUCCAAUGGAAGCAACUGCAGAGGUGGUGUGGCCGUGCCGGGACUUGCAGAGCUUUUCUGCUUAUUUUCAAGUGACGCCCGUGUUGGCACCUUAGCUCCAGGAGCCUGGUGAGUGGAGGAGACUGAAGAUGGAGAGAGAGCCUGGACCUCAACAUGAGCAUCUGGAGCCAUUUGGCAGCAUUAGGCUGUGACCGCUUAGAGAACCGAAAGGUGCAGAGCUUUAAAGGAUUAUGGAGUCUGAAGACCAAAUGGGAUGAUGGAGAACAGCUAUUCAGUGGUACAAAUGUAAAUGCUCCCAGGCCCGGGCAGAAAAGAGAAAACAUUUCCAUGGAAGAGGAAACAGGAAAUUCCAACAGAUCAGCAACAGUUGGAGUGCUAACCUGUCACUGGAAUGGGAAAAAAAAUGCUGUCGUUGACACAUCUUUUCCUUGUUUUUGACACAAAUUAGAAACACCACCUGGAACACAGCUGUGACUUGAUAAACAAGUGAAACAUUCUUUGGUGUGGUGAGGGGAAAACAAAUUUCUCAAAGGACACGCACCAUGGUGUAUGAGAGGACACUGGAGCCCAGCCAGCAUCUGACAUGCUGAAUUCAAAGUGCAGACAGAGAUGAAGAAAAGAAGGAAGUGGAGGCAAUGAGGAAAGGAGGGAAGAAGGAAGGAAGGAAAUCAUGCUUGAAAGAAGUUGUGGAACAUGUCAAGUUUUUUUCCGGAUGUGGCGGAGAUUAUGCAGCUACAAUGAAGCCAGAUUAAGAUUUCAGGAAAAUGGACAGAUCUCUACAAUGUUCUCCAAAGAGAUUGUUUUGCUUGCCAAUAAAAAGAGACACCUGGGAGCACCAUACUCUCUCCUGUUCCUCUGGGUAUCAUAUUUCCUUAUGACACCUGAAACUCUGAUGCCUUCUGGGUCCAUGAAAGCAGUGAGAUGAGCACAGGAAACCACGCUGAGGAUGGUUGAGCAAAAAGGUGACAUUGAGCCACUGGAUUAACCUGCCCAGAAACAGGAUAUCUUCAGAUUUCUUGUUAAGUAAGAAAAUGUAAUUUUGUUGAUUCUAAGUUACACUUUCUUUUGUUAGUUCAACAUCUCUGAAAUCAGAACAUAUUUUGCCAUGGUAAUAUCUUACCAUCACUGUAAUAUGUAAUAUCCUUACAUAGGUGUCAUUGCCUAUGCAUGUGUCAACUUGAUUGCUAUUCUCUGUGAUAUGACUGACAACUGCAGCCCUUUGACAGUUCAGUCGACAAACCAUUGAAGAUUAUUAGGGUAAGAAAUACUGCUUUCUGUCUGAAAACUUUCCAAUGACAUCUUCUGAAAAGACAAAGAAAGUAUCAGCAUCAAAAUUUGCGUAAUAGGCCGGGCGCGGUGGCUCACGCCUGUAAUCCCAGCACUUUGGGAGGCCGAGGCGGGCGGAUCACGAGGUCAGGAGAUCGAGACCAU